UAACACAUCUCUUUAAUCACAUAAGAGUUUCUAAGAAACCUCGGAGACCACUCAGCUCAUCCGAACACCCCUAUACUUCGUCUCCUCCAUAUAAAAACCUUAAUCUGCCAUUAUUUCCGGCAAGACAGCUCCAAAUCACCACCAAAUCUCGACCACACAAUCACCAUAGUCCCUUAAGCACUAAACCACAACCAAUUUUCCCCAAAUCUUCUCCACUUCUCUUUAAUUUCGGAUCUUAAAACAAGAACUCUAUAUUUGUAUCAUCCUUCGAUCCUACAUUUAAAGGCCCGAUCCUGUUACUUUAUGAGUUUUCGAAGUUGAUUUUGAGCUAAAAUGAGUGUUAGACAUUUGUUCUCGCAAGAACAAAUCGACUAACACUCUUUUUCGCCUCAAAUCGGAAAACGAUGGAAGUCCAUUCAAGUCUUCGUCCUGAGUUGACUAUAUUAGGUAUUUUUUCUGCUUCUUGUCAUUUUUUUUCUGCUUUUCCAUAUUCAUCUUCCUCUGUCUUCCCCCUUGUUAUGUCACAUCUGUUCUGUCCGUCUUUGAAUGUAUCUCAAUUUCAUUUGGUCUGUUUCCUCUCAAUUCUUUUGUUAAGUACUGGUUGAUAUAUGUUGCAUGUUUAGAAUUUGAGUCAUGUUAAUAAUCAUCAACAUAUUAGUGUAAUUAACAUUUUUCUUCUUUAGUAUUUUUUGAUUUUUCACUUUU
rnacentral:lncRNA from 1 species